rnacentral:rRNA from 1 species
UACGAAGGGGGCUAGCGUUGCUCGGAAUUACUGGGCGUAAAGGGCGCGUAGGCGGCCCGCUUAGUCAGGCGUGAAAUUCCUGGGCUUAACCUGGGGACUGCGCUUGAGACGGGUGGGCUUGAGGGCAGGAGAGGCUCGCGGAAUUCCCAGUGUAGAGGUGAAAUUCGUAGAUAUUGGGAAGAACACCGGUGGCGAAGGCGGCCUGCUGGGCAGUAGCUGACACUGAGGCGCGACAGCGUGGGGAGCAAACAGG